rnacentral:rRNA from 1 species
AUGGCUGACGCUAGACUUGCCCUAGCCUCCCUCUUUGUCUCCAUUCUGAUGCUUUCCAUGGCCCAUCCCUUCUUUGCAUGUCCCACUCGUUGUGAAAGUGAGAUAAAAAUGCAGAUGUAUUUGCACCAGGUGGUGUCCGGACCAACCCAUAACCAAGAAGUUGUGUUUAAGUCUACUCCCACUAUAGAGUUUGGUAGGACGGUUGCUUUUGAUUAUACUCUACUUGAUGCACCUACACCGGACGCCAAAAUUAUUGGUCGUGCCAAAGGAACCCAUGUCCAGGCUGACCAGGUCAAUGCUGGAGAUUUCUCCCAUUUCAGUAUGAUAUUCCAGCAGGGACGGUUUACGGGUUCAACAUUUCAAGUUAUGGGGAUGACUCCUCCAAAUGGAGUUUGGGCAAUUGUUGGCGGGACCAAUGAACUAGCGAUGGCACAAGGUAUCAUCCAGUUUGCAAUAGUCAAAGGGACUCCAAACGUGGAGAGCUAUAGAGAACUUAAUAUUACUGCCUUCAUUCCAACAGUUAGCAUUGCAACUGGUAGCUUCGUCCAAUACUUUGACAUUUAA